rnacentral:sRNA from 1 species
AUAUCUCUCCGUACGGGAAGGAUGAGAAGCUUCGACUAAGGUUCGAUUCGAGCGCAGCGAGAAAGCGU